CCACACUUGGUUGACAAAUGCAAAUACUUCGAGAGGCUAUCCCAGCAGACCCCACUGUGGUUUGAGGGUUUUCUCGUCAUCUUGCAUUAGAGAAAAUGAUGCUGAAUCACAUACACUUAACAAAUCAAAAAGCAACAAACAUAUGCUGGCCUUGACAGCUCUACCACUGGCUGGUUCCAGCAGGCCCUGGGUUGUGUGUGUUGGGGCUCCUCCCCAGAGAGAUGAAGAGAUGGACCGACAGUAACAGAAGGCCCUCGAAGCUGAUGUGUGAUGAAGAAUGUAAGACCCUUACUGGAAGCGACUUUGUCUUUUUCAUCACUGUAUUCCCAGUGCCCA